CCUCCUGGGGAGGUCCCAUGCUGAGUGACCGUGGGAACAUUGGAUUAACUGUGUGGUCUUGACUCUUGUAGUAUCCUUGAGGUAUUUGCUUUACCUUUUGACCUGAGAUGACCCGGCAAGGUCCCGGUACCAGUUUCGACUGUGACCGUUUAGUGUAUUUUGUUCCAGUGGCCACUGUUGGUGCUGUCGAACACUACGCUUCGAACUGCUGGGUAAGAGCAAGGUACCUUGGGUAAGAGUUGUCAGAGAAGGGUGUGUGGGCACAAGGUCACACCACUCUCGCAACAUAGUGACAGUGGAUCACGAUUUCGGGGCAUGUGACAUGACAGUGUGAACAGUAUCAUCACCUGCAAACCCUCACUGGAGAUAUAUUGUGCCCAAUCAUAUACUCGUAAAUUGUUACAGGUUUUACUUGUGUUAGCACUUGCUAACAAAGGUCAUUUUUUUUUAAGUAGAUUAGUUGGCUAAAGAACCAGCAUAAUUCAAUGCAAAUGCCAUAGUCUUUCAUAGAACUUAAAAUACGGAUUCUCACAGUGAAUCUAUAGAUUUCAUAACUUAAUAUAAAAAAGAAAUAGGUUGGGACAAAUUCAACAAUUAUUACUGUAUAGACUUUAUGAAUCAAAACUGUUGGUCUUUAUAUAUGAAAUAGAAUAAAAUCCCUGGCUCAGUUUGAAAUCCUACGCUCAAAUAGUUGAAAACUCAAAAAAAUAUGUAUACAUAUUUGUAGAAUUACAUAGCUUAAAAUUUUACAGAUCACAUUCAUACUUUAAAAACCGAAGACUUUCAUCCCUCAAAAUCCUAAUUACUCUUAUUCCUUUAAGUAUCAUUACGUUCUGAAUUAUAAGUUUCGUUAUAAUUUGAUGAAACUGCUUUCCAGAAUUUAUUAUUGCACUAUUGGUAGAAGCCUUUAGUAACUUGCGUCUAAUUCAGAUUUUAGACUUGGCACUCCCUCGGAGAGUCACUUCUUUCAGUCAUAAAAAAGAUUAGCUAUUUCAUGAACGUGUCUGAUUUUUUUUAGUUUGAUUUUAGAUAUUUUCCUUCGAAUGAGUCAUUCCGUAGUAAGUCUGUUGCAUAAUCAUUAGCCUUAUCUAUUUCUUGAGGCUUCGGUUAUUUUUUCUUCCUUUCUUGGAAGUCUAUUAAAUAAUCACUAUCCUUAACUUGCUACUAGGCUUUAUUAGAAAUUAAAUGUAUUUUUCCUCCAACGGUUGGCAGAUCUCGUCGACAAUAAAAUAGCCAAGAGCUUCAGAGCAAUAAAAUGUUGACAAACUACUGUUGACUGAAGCAGACGCCUCCUGACCCAUUGGAGUUCCUCCCUCCGGCGGACUCGUAGUCACCGCUCCCUCCAAACUUGGUCUCCUUCAGGGCAGCAGGUCGGAGUAAUCUGGGAGUAGACGAGAGCCGGGAGUCUUCUGUAGUCUGGAGUAAUUGGGGAGUAGGUUGGAGAGGUAGGCGCUGGGAGGAUGGCGUCUUGACUGCUUUUUGGACAAAUUCUCUGGCGUUGAAGGUUUCCUCUUCUUGGCGUCUUCUUUCUGGUGUAAUGUAGCUCCUGUAAAAUAUAAAGAAAAUACUCUUAUUAAAAAUUUGUGUAACCCUUGGAUAUGGAAAUCUAGGAUUACUUAAAUAUUAAGGAAAUGUAAAAUGAACUAUGGAAAUUUGAACAAAAAAAUGAAAUAAAAUUAGGUAAGCACUGUGA